AUGAUUGAUGCAAACUUCAGAAUCAUGUCCUGGAACGUGAGGGGCCUAAAUUCACCGGCAAAGCGCACGGCCGUCUGCGAGGUUGCCCACGCAAAUAAAAUUGCGAUUCUUAACCUGCAGGAAACUAAGAUCGAGUCCUGGACCACACAGCUAGCAGUAGAAGUAGGAGGGCCUUCGCUUCAGGGUUGCGUCGUACUACCUGCGAUAGGUACUAGAGGUGGUGCCGCCAUUUUCUGGGAUAAACAUCUGGUCAACGUAGUUACGCACAUGAUUGCUAGCUUCUCCAUUACGGUUAUGGUAGAGAUCAUCGGCAGCGGCGAGUUCUUUUGGAUGACAACUGUCUACGGUCCUUCGGAGGAUGAGCAAAAGGAAAACUUCCUAACUGAACUAGUGUAA
rnacentral:rRNA from 1 species